GAUGAACGCUGGCGGCGUGCUUAACACAUGCAAGUCGAGCGAAAAGACGCGGGGUUUGUUCCUCAGUCGAUUGCCGCGGACGGGAGAGUAACACGUGGAUACCCUACCUCUCAUACUGGUAAAACUUCGGGAAACCGGAGCAAAUAGGGGAGGAUAUCUUCAACCGGAUGGUUCAAUAGAGAAUGACGGGUUUGGUGUCAGUUAUAGACGGAUCCGCGCCGUAUUGGCUAGUUGGUCAGGUAAGGGCUUACCAAGGCAACGAUGGGUAGCCGACGGGGGAGGGGGGUCGGCCACACUGGAAGUGGGACACGGUCCAGACGCCUACGGGAGGCAGCAGUAGGGAAUCGUCCGCAGUGGGCGAAAGCCUGACGGAGCAACGCCGCGUGAGAUAUGGAGGUCUUCGGUUCGGGAAACUCUGUUAUUGGGUGAGAACAACUGUGUCUGUAACUGAGCACGUCUUGACGGUACCUAAUCAGGAAGCCACGGCUAACUACGUG
rnacentral:rRNA from 1 species